GAUGAACGCUAGCGACAGGCUUAACACAUGCAAGUCGAGGGGCAUCGGGACGUAGCAAUACGCUGCCGGCGACCGGCGGAUGGGUGAGUAACGCGUAUGCAACCUGCCCACGACAGGGGGACAGCCCGUUGAAAGACGGAUUAAUACCCCAUAAAACAGGGGUUCCGCAUGGGACUAUUUGUUAAAGGUUUUUCCGCGAGGGGGAUCCGGUUGUGGAUGGGCAUGCGUUCCAUUAGGCAGUUGGUGGGGUAACGGCUCACCAAACCGACGAUGGAUAGGGGAACCGGGAGGUUGGUCCCCCACACUGGUACUGAGACACGGACCAGACUCCUACGGGAGGCAGCAGUGAGGAAUAUUGGUCAAUGGGCGAGAGCCUGAACCAGCCAAGUCGCGUGAAGGAAGAAGGAUCUAUGGUUCGUAAACUUCUUUUGCAGGGGAAUAAAGUGCAGGACGUGUCCUGUUUUGUAUGUACCCUGAGAAUAAGGAUCGGCUAACUCCGUG
rnacentral:rRNA from 1 species